rnacentral:tRNA from 1 species
GGCACUGUAGCUCAGUGGAAGAGCACUUGCCUCAGAUGCAUAAUGCCCUAGGUUCAAUCCUCAGUGCCG